UUCAACAUGCCUGCCCUCUACUGAUAGGAAAGAAGACGAACACCUCUGUUGAAGAAAGCAACAGUUGGUUGACCUUGCAGCCAUUUUCCUAACCUGUCCUCCUCCUCUCUCUGGUUUUUAGGGCAGCUCCUUUCUUGCAGAAAUGUGUGGAGUUUGGCAGGAAUGCCCGUCCCAGCAGCAUUUGACCACAAGAGUCUCUUCGAUGAAACAUGAGCUGGUCUGGGAUCACUGCCUGGGGAUCUUGGAGGACAGUUCCACUGCCAUCGUAAAUCUCGUUCCAAGAGUCUAUGGACCAAGACAGUUGAGAAAGAGAGGCAGGCCCCUUUUCCAAAGACAAUGAAAGGAGCCAGGCAUGGAAGGAAGAGAAGGAUAAAGGCAAGUAAGUAUUUGCAGGUGUAAAGGAGCUUUAAAAUAUUUACUGCAAGAUUUUGCGGAACAUGCAAGAUUUGAGUCUCCUUCAGUUUUGUUCGCCGCUUCCUAAUGCAGAAUAAAGCCUUAUGUAGUCUGUGAGCCCUAUGGGGAAGGAAGGACGUUUUUUAAUUCUGUAAAAACUGCUGUCUCACCCCAAACCCACAAGGCAGGGUAAGUCGAACCUCCCCUCCUGCUAGUAUCUCUCUGUUAUUUCACAACCAGGGAGCUGCCAGCGGGCGGGCGCAGGGGAGAUUAAAGGGGGUGGGCAGGGGUGGGGACCAGCUCACAAACAGCCAGCGACAGAUGAAGAAGACGCCGAGAGCCAACCCAUGACCAGCAGCUGCACUUUAUGGACAGUGGACUCAUCCAUAAAGUAGAAAGCACUACUAAACGCUCGUGUCCAAGUGUAGUGUUUCCUACUUUAUGGAUGAGUGUACUGUGAGCAACGGAGGCAACAAGGAGAAGCGGAGACUGGCACAAGACCAGGGAAAGGGGGGAGGGGAGGGGAAGGCGGAAAUGCCACGUGGCCGUAGACAGGAGGGCAUCAUGGUUGAACACACACACACAGAGCCAGACUGUCACUCAAAUACAGAUGCAUCGCUUUCCCCAAAAUAUAGCACAUGACACUCCCAACAAUAAUGCUUGUAACAUGUGACUCAUAACUGAAUCUAAGUAGGAGGUGGGGUGGAGAACAAGACCUGGGGAGAAAGGCCCAUUUAUUGGCACCAACUUAGAAUGCUCAGAAGUUAUUCUGCCAAUACCCUCUUUCCAACUUUGCUACAAUCUGUGCAUGAUACCUUCUACCCUGCUUGCCACACACCCCUACCUGAAUAUUAGAAAGUGGAAGGGUUUGGGAAUUUGCUGGGGGCAGAGUAGGGGGCGAGUAAAAUAUCACAUGAUGCUUGGUACAUGUGUAUGGAAGCUGGCCAUACAUAUACAAACACCCCAUGACCAACAUACUCUUAAAGACCUUCAUUGUUUGGGUAACUGUCUGAAGGUCACUAGCUGUGAUUAUGUACUUGAAAGGAGAGGAGACAGGUAUUACAGGAUGUACUGUAUGACCACUUGCUUCACGAAAAUAAACUUUCAACACAGUU